rnacentral:rRNA from 1 species
CACGUAGGGCGCGAGCGUUGUCCGGAAUUAUUGGGCGUAAAGAGCUCGUAGGCGGCCUGUUGCGUCCGCUGUGAAAGUCGGGGGCUCAACCCUCGGAUGCCGGUGGAUACUGUCGGGCUAGAGUGCGGGAGAGGCGAGUGGAAUUCCUGGUGUAGCGGUGAAAUGCGCAGAUAUCAGGAGGAACACCAAUUGCGAAGGCAGCUCGCUGGAACGUUACUGACGCUGAGACGCGAAAGCGUGGGGAGCAAACAGG